GUAGUCUGUGAUGAUGAUGAUCUCAGUUGGCCUGAACUCUUUCUGGAAUAUGAGGGCAACCUAAGUCACUACCUCUUCUGAGACAC
rnacentral:snoRNA from 1 species